GGGGUUGUUGCUCAGAGGUAGAGCACUUACCUGGCAUGUAUGAGGCAUUGGGUUUAAUUCUCAGCACCA
rnacentral:tRNA from 1 species